GUAUAUAGUGAAACAGAGGUUACAGGGAGAAAACAUUUAGAAAAAACAGAGGAAGUCCAGAGCAAAAAAACAAAGUUCAAAUGGAAAAGCAAACAGGGAACAUAAAGGACUGAAAUCAAGGACCGAAAGUGAAAUAACUACAUGUAGCCUAGAGGAGAAGCUGACAAAACCGAAAAGCAAGGGAGGUUUACAUACACAAGGAGGGUGAUUGCAGGCACAAUGAAGAAGUUAGUCUGGUUUACUGAUUGUGGAACAUACACAUGUAUUGUGGAUUUUUUUUCUGCCUCAUUCUUUACAUGGUGAGGACCCAAAUACCAAACAAAUGCACAAUAAAAUAAAUAUUUAAUGUGAAGAAAAAAUAUACAAAAACACUUCAGCUUAGGUUUGACCUGUAAGGCAUUUAUAAUUUCAAAGACAGAUCUAGGGAAUCGAACCAAGGACCUUCUAGCUGCAAGAUAACAGUGCUACCAACUGAGCCACUGUGCAGACUCUGACAUAAAAACUUAUGUACAGAUUGUUACAUAGAUUGUUCUUUUUCUGACAAGUUUUUAAUUUACAGUUAUUACUUUUAUGACAAGUUAAAGUUUUAAUUACACAGGAGGACAAACCUUGUAGGAGCCUCCUAAAGAACCUGCCAUACUGACCACCAGAAUGCUCAGAUUGUUUUGAGAAAAUCUCCUGUAUGACCAGUAUGUCCAAUUUCUAGUUUUUCCAUUCUGAUGUUGAAGUGGUUUCGCCAAAACAUUCUCCUCCCGUGCUGAAGGCUGCGCCUGCCAGCACUGCCUGGAGCUCUACCGCCUGCGAGGAAAGAGAUAACGCACAAAGAGUGCUUGCAAUGCUUUUCCUGCCUCAACAGAGGGAAGGUGGUCAAUAAUUUAACCAGAAACGAGCCUCAUCAGAGCAAAUAUUCAAGUUUAUUGAAUAUAACUGAAGCUUCAGUUAUAAGCUGAUACUGUGAUCAGAGAAAAGAUGAAACAACGUCAGUGAGAGGAUACAAUUAAGUCAACUACCUGUGCUGGUAUAAUAGCUCUAGAAAAAAAAGAAGUGGAUCUGUGGAGAGCAGCGAGGCGACAGCAUCCCCCCUUUCCGUUGAGGAUAGAGAGCGCUGAACUGUGGAAAACACCAUAUGGAAGCUGAUGCAAAAUAGUUCAGUCUGAACUAAAAUCAAACAUGUAAAGCCACUCACAACUCCAGCUCUGAUACCACACGAUGAGACAUAAACAAACACAAUAAAACAAGAAGGUUUUCAAGUUGUAUUUCUUCUCUGUAGUUUCAUUCAGCCAUGCUGUAGCCAAGGAUGGAGAAUUUGCUCCGCUGCAGAGCUGUGGGAGCAAUUUCACACAUCAUCAGUCCGCUUCAGUAUCUCAUCACAGAAACACCGAGACCAUUUUUAGUUGAAAGAAAACAUCACUGUCGUUUUUAGCUGGCAAUGCUGCGGAGCUUCGGUCAGAUAGUUAGUCAAUAAAACUUUCAUGAUUGAUUUUUUUGUUGUUUUUUUUUUACACAGCAAUUCAUGGUUGUAAAUGUAGCCAAAACCCCAUCAUAUUAUCCACCGGCAUCCUUUCACAUUUGAUCUUAAAUUGCUGUCAUCAUCAUUGUUGAGUGUUUUGUAGAUUGCUAUGAUUCUCUGUGACAUAAAAAAAAAAUCUAACAGUUAUGAAAGUAACUGAAACACUGAAAACACAGAAGCACUUAAUGUUAUUGUGAUCUACUAAGCGGUUGCUAUGUCUGUUGUUACAAAUGUAAAAAAUUAAGUUUAAAAAAUGACUAUUAUUACUAUUAUUUUGAGUAAUGCACCACUACUCACCAAGAAAAUUAAGUCUCUACUGUCAUCUACAGGCUAAAACAAGAAACAGAUGCUACAUAUAGCAUAUGUGCAUUUUAUAUAGAUCCUACAUAAAUACACAUUGUGACAUGUACUGUACAUGUAACGUAUCUUGUAAUUGUGACUUUGAAAGUUAAAAUUAUGACUUCCUGUUGGGCUUUUUUUUUUUUUUCAUGGCAGAAAUAGGUUUCCGUUAUUGCACACUCAAGGCAAACCUGUAAAAGAAACCUACUAAACCUUAUUAAAUUUCACUUUAAACCCUAAUCUGCCAGGCGUGUGAAAAAAUUUGGGCUCAACUGUACAUGGACCAUUACGGUCAAAGCUUUGAUUACUCCAAAAUAAAAAUGCUUAUCUCCAUGCAAAUUCAUAAAAUCAUCACAGGCUUCAGUAAGGGCAAAUGUAUUUUAUUUCUUUAAAUAUAAAAUACUCCAAAGUACACAAUGUGUUCAGACAGUAUUGAUGAAUAGGUCAGCCUCAAUAAACGGUGAACAGAAAAACUAUAUGGGUAGUUUGGCUGUCUGAUUGAAAUAGUGACAGUUUCAUGUGCACAAGAAAAUAGGACUGAAAAUAAAAGUUUUCUGAAGUUAAAAUAAUAAUAAUAAUAAAAAAGACUGGUGAAAAUAUCCCCCUUUGGCAUAAACUGUAUCUAACAAGGACCAAGCAUUAAAA